AUACCUUCGGUUUGACGAUUUAUUGUCUCGCCGGCGUUGGCGGUUUUGGGAUACGCGGGGCAACCCGCGCCAUUCUGCUUAAACACUGACAGCGGGGUCAAGUUUAGAACACCUUCGAUUAGUAGAAAUAUUCAUCGAAAAAGGAAUUUAAACUUGCCCGCCAUACAAAAUAAAAGGGUAAAAGCCUUAUAA
rnacentral:misc_RNA from 1 species